rnacentral:rRNA from 1 species
CACUACAAGGAAGGGCGCAUGGAGGAUGCCUUGGCUCUCGGAGGCGACGAAGGACGCGACAAGCUGCGAAAAGCCGCGGCGAGGGGCAAAUACCCGUCGACCCGCGGAUGUCCGAAUGGGGCAACCCGGCGGAAGCGAUUCCGUCAUCCGUGUGAACACGGAAGCGAACGCGGGGAACUGAAACAUCUUAGUACCCGCAGGAAGAGAAAGUAAUAACGAUUCCCCCAGUAGAGGCGAUCGAACGGGGAAUAGCCCAAACCGCCACCGUGGCGACGCGGCGGCGGGGUUGUAGGACCGCUCAAGGGCUGGUGCAAUGCGAGGAGAAGCGCAUGGAACGGCGCGCCGCAGCGGGUGAGAGCCCCGUAUCCGAAGCAGCGUACCACAGGAGCGGCACCUGAGUAAGCCGGGACACGAGGAAUCCCGGCCGAAUCCGCGGGGACCAUCCCGCAAGGCUAAAUACUACCGAGAGACCGAUAGCGAACCAGUACCGUGAGGGAAAGGUGAAAAGGACCCCGGAAGGGGAGUGAAAGAGACCCUGAAACCAUGCGCCUACAAGCGGUCGGAGCUCCGUUAGUGGAGUGACGGCGUGCCUUUUGCAUAAUGAGCCUGCGAGUUGCGGUCGCCGGCGAGGCUAAGUCACGCAGUGACGGAGCCGGAGCGAAAGCGAGUCCGAAGAGGGCGCGGAGUCGGCGGCUGCAGACGCGAAACCGGGUGAUCUACGCAUGGGCAGGCUGAAGGCUGGGUAACACCAGCUGGAGGGCCGAACCGGUAAGCGUUGAAAAGCUUUCGGAUGACCUGUGCGUAGGAGUGAAAGGCCAAUCAAACCCGGAGAUAGCUCGUACUCCCCGAAAUGCAUUUAGGUGCAGCCUCGGGCCAGACCGACGGAGGUAGAGCGACCGAUAGGGUGCGAGGGCUUCGCCGCCUAUCAAGCCCUGACGAACUCCGAAUGCCGUCGGCCGGUGCCCGGGAGUGAGGGCGCGGGUGCUAAGGUCCGCGUCCGAGAGAGGAACAACUCAGACCACCGUCUAAGGCCCCCAAAUCCGGGCCGAGUUGAAGCCAAUAACGAGGUGGGACCGCACAGACAGUUAGGAUGUUGGCUUGGAAGCAGCCAUUCAUUCAAAGAGUGCGUAACAGCUCACUAAUCGAGCGGUCCCGCGUGGAUAAUAAUCGGGCAUAAGUCCGGUGCCGAAGACGUGGAAUCCGUCAAAUAGAUGGAUUGGUAGGGGAGCAUUCCGCCGCCGGCGAAGGCGGGCCGCGAGGCCUGCUGGAGGCCGCGGAAAAGCAAAUGCAGGCAUAAGUAACGACAAAGGGGGCGGGAAACCCCCUCGCCGGAAGGCCAAGGGUUCCUGAUCAACGCUAAUCGGAUCAGGGUAAGCCGGGACCUAAGCGGAAGCCGCGAGGCGUACGCGAUGGACAAACGGUGAAGAUUCCGUUGCCCCCGGCCUGUUAGCCCCGUCGAUGACGGAGGAGCGAAAGACGCGCGCGCUGACGGAACAGCGCGUUGAAGGGAGGUAGCCGCAAGGCGAGACCCGACAGUACGCGGAGGCUUCGGCCGAAGCGACAGCCGUACCGUAGCAUACUCCCGAGAAAAGUCGACGCGAGGCGUUCGAGCAGGCCGGGGCCCGUACCGCAAACCGACACAGGUGGCCGGGUAGAGCAUACCGAGGCGCUCGAGAGAUUCACGGUCAAGGAACUAGGCAAACUGGCCCCGUAACUUCGGGAGAAGGGGCCCUCGUUUAAGAAGCGAGGCGCAGAGAAUAAGUCCAGGCAACUGUUUAGCAAAAACACAGGGCUGUGCCAAGCCGCAAGGCGCCGCAUACAGCCUGACACCUGCCCGGUGCCGGAAGGUUAAGCGGAGCUGUCAUCGCGAGAGAAGCAGCGAAGUGAAGCCCCGGUAAACGGCGGCCGUAACUAUAACGGUCCUAAGGUAGCGAAAUUCCUUGUCGGGUAAGUUCCGACCU